AAACUAUUCCCUCCGUCCCAAAAUUCUUGUCUUAGAUUUGUCUAAAUACGGAUGUAUCUAGUUACGUUUUAGUGUUAGAUACAUCUGUAUCUAGACAAAUGUAAGACAAGAAUUUUGGGACGGAGGGAGUAAUAU
rnacentral:pre_miRNA from 1 species